rnacentral:lncRNA from 1 species
GCUGUGUCCUGGCUCAGACGGACAGCUCUGACUCGCUCGCUCUUUCUCUGGGCGCCUGCGCGCCUACCAUGACAAGCCAUUUCAGGCGAGCCGAGCCCCAGAGCCAUGUGUCUGGUGCGCAGUGUUAACAGGGCAGUUAUACCUUUUACAGACAACUGUGGCUCCAAGUCAAGUAUGAACUUACACAAACAGUUUAUAUAACAAGUGGAGGUGUGCGCCUGCGUGCCAAACUUGCUGACUCGUGCAGGCCUGGAUACCCGCCUCAGACUAUUCCUUGACCGAAGCACUUCCAGGGCAGGAAACUGAAGCUCUUGGGAAGGUGGAAGUUGCACGUGGUCUCACAGUCAACUGUGCCAGAAUAGGAGGCCAGGAACCAUCUCUGCUGGAGGAAGACCCACCACGCAUCCCUUCAAGAAUGCCAAGGUCCAGAGCAAGUGCUUCCCUUCUAUGGGCACAGGAGGGCUGUGGGAGCCCACAGAAUGUGCUUCUGGCCAGAGUGGGAUCCCCGAGGAAGAUGUUAAGACCUCUAAUAAUAUUUAAGAGCAAAAUUAGCACAGCUCCAGCCCAUGGGCAAGUUAAGAGACAGGAGUAGUGUCUGUGGAGUGGAGGAAAGCAGAGGCUGCCGCUGACCAUCCUGCAGCCCUCGCUCUGGCUGCUCACAGCUCUCCACCUUCUCUGGACUUCGUCACUUCAGUCUGGCUAAGUUGGUUGCUUUUUGGUGAUUAGUCAAAGAGACCAAAUCCCAUAUCCUCGUCCGACUCCUCCGACUCUUCCUUGGCUUCAACCUUAGCUGGGGCUGCAGCAGCAGCAGGAGCAGCUGUGGUGUCAGCAGCCACAGGGGCAGCAGCCACAAAGGCAGAUGGAUCAGCCAAGAAGGCCUUGACAUUUUCAGCAAGUGGGAAGGUGUAAUCCGUCUCCACAGACAAGGCCAGGACUCGUUUGUACCCGUUGAUGAUAGAAUGGGGUACUGAUGCAACAGUUGGGUAGCCAGUCUGCAGACAGACACUGGCAACAUUGCGGACACCCUCCAGGAAGCGAGAAUGCAGAGUUUCCUCUGUUUUAUCAAGCACUUCAGGGUUGUAGAUGCUGCCAUUGUCGAAUACCUGCUGGAUGACCAGCCCAAAGGAGAAGGGGGAGAUGUUGAGCAUGUUCAGCAGCGUGGCUUCGCUGGCUCCCACUUUGUCUCCAGUCUUGAUCAGCUGCACAUCACUCAGGAUUUCAAUGGUGCCCCUGGAGAUUUUAGUGGUGAUACCUAAAGCCUGGAAAAAGGAGGUCUUCUCGGGCCCGAGACCAGUGUUCUGGGCUGGCACAGUGACUUCACAUGGGGCAAUGGCACCAGCACGGGCAGCAGCUGGCACCUUAUUGGCCAGCAACAUGUCCCUGAUCUCAGUGAGGUCCUCCUUGGUGAACACAAAGCCCACAUUCCCCCAGAUAUGAGGCAGCAGUUUCUCCAGAGCUGGGUUGUUUUCCAGGUGCCCUCGGAUGGCCUUGCGCAUCAUGGUGUUCUUGCCCAUCAGCACCACGACCUUCCCGCGAAGGGACAUGCGGAUCUGCUGCAUCUGCUUGGAGCCCACAUUGUCUGCUCCCACGAUGAAACAUUUUGGAUAAUCAUCCAAUAGUUGGAUGAUCUUAAGGAAGUAGUUGGACUUCCAGGUCGCCCUGUCUUCCCUGGGCAUCACGGCGGUGCGUCAGGGAUUGCCACGCAGGGUUUAAAGACGAUGUCACUUCCACGAGGAUGCCUG